AAGGUACGACAGGUAGUUGCUGGUGACAUCACGUCACGAGAGGAAAGUCCGGGCUACAUGCAAGACAGGGCUCCAUCUAACGGAUGGCCGGAGCAAUCCGAGGGCAAGUGCAACAGAAAGUAGACCGCCGGUUUUAGUUAGGAGUUAGGAGUUAGGAAUGAGGAGUUGUAGUAAGUGGUGCAGUGGCUCCACUUUGGUAAAAGCUUUUUUAAAAGCAUACAGACACUCUUCAUUCCUAGCUCCUCGUUCCUCACUAACUUCCGGUAAGGGUGAAACGGUGGGGUAAGAGCCCACCAGUGCCUGUGGUAACAUGGGCAGCUAGGUAAACCCUUCCCGUAGCAAGAAGUACAUGGUAAUAAGUCUUGCUAACGCCGCCUCGAGCGGCAAAAGUACUUCGCUUGAGCGUAUUGGCAACACUGCGCCUAGAUAAAUAACUACCCACGACAGAACCCGGCUUACGGCGUGCCUUUUUU
rnacentral:RNase_P_RNA from 1 species